UUUAUAAAAAUUCAACGCUUAAAAAUAAUGUAAGAUUAAAGACAAUGAGGAUUGCAAAAGUUUUAAAUAUCAGAAACUGAAGAAGGAAUUGAUAAUUAGCAGAUAACAAAAAAGCGCAAAAGUAGUGAUUAUACAACUCUUUUAAAGUUGAGGAAGAAUUUUAUGUGGAAUGUUAAUGCAAAAGGUACGAAUAUUGACAGGUUAGCUAAUUUGAUGUUACAAUAAACAUGAAAUAAAGUUUGUGAAGACCUUAGUUCCAAAAAUACUUGCAUGCAUUAUUUAUGCAUGCUAUAUUAUAAUAUAGCAUGGAUGCAUUCAAGUAUUAAAAAAAGUUACUAAUGUUUAAUUAUACAAAAAGAUUAUUUAUGUGGUACCGCAAUUAUAUUCAAUUGAUUAUGUAAGUAAGCAAGUAUGUACUUUACAUCUUUGAAGACUUAUAAUAAUUGUAUUGAACAUAUCUCAAACAAAUAUAAAAAAAAAUGAGUAGCCUCCUCGAAUGUAGUUGCUCCUUGGGCCUUAGG
rnacentral:lncRNA from 1 species